UACAGAGGGUGCGAGCGUUGUCCGGAAUUACUGGGCGUAAAGCGCGCGCAGGCGGCCUUUUAAGUCUGACGGUGAAAUGCCGGGGCUCAACCCCGUGCCCGCCGGAGAUACUGGGAGGCUGGAGACGAGUAGAGGCAAGCGGAAUUCCGGGUGUAGCGGUGGAAUGCGUAGAGAUCCGGAAGAACACCGGAGGCGAAGGCGGCUUGCUGGGCUCGGUCUGACGCUGAGGCGCGAAAGCGUGGGGAGCGAACAGG
rnacentral:rRNA from 1 species